ensembl:processed_transcript
AAGAAGCCAAGGCAGGAACUGAUGAGGCUGAUACAGGACCUGAUGAAGAAGACAAGGCAGGAACUGAUGAGGCUGAAACAGGAGCCGAUGAAGAAGCCAAGGCAGGAACUGAUGAGGCUGAUACAGGAGCUGAUGAAGAACCCAAGGUAGGAACUGAUGAGGCUGAUGCAGGAGCCGAUGAAGAAGACUGGCCAGGAACUGAUGAGGCUGAUGCAGGAGCCGAUGAAGAAGACUGGCCAGGAACUGAUGAGGCUGACGCAGGAGCCUCCAAUAAAGAAGUCGAUGCAGGAGCCUUCAACAAAAGGAGCUGAGUGGUUUCUUCGGCAGACCGCCUUUGUCCUCAACUGUUAAAGAAGGACAAAAAAAAAAAACACAAGAUAGGCAAAAGUCAGUGUCAAAGCAGCAAGAAGACAAUCUCAUCAGCACAGUGUUUUGAUGUUGUGUUUCAUUGAUUAUGCUAUGGUACAUAAACAAUUAAAGACAAUAAUAAAGGGUUA